rnacentral:rRNA from 1 species
UACAGGGGGUGCAAGCGUUAUUCGGAAUUACUGGGCGUAAAGCGUGCGUAGGCGGUUGCGUAAGUCAGAUGUGAAAGCCCCGGGCUCAACCUGGGAAUUGCAUUUGAGACUGCGUAGCUAGGGUGCGGAAGAGGGAAGCGGAAUUUCCGGUGUAGCGGUGAAAUGCGUAGAUAUCGGAAGGAACACCAGUGGCGAAAGCGGCUUGCUGGUCCAGCACCGACGUUCAGGCACGAAAGCGUGGGGAGCAAACAGG